CCUGUUUUGAGCUUCCCACUGCUGCUGGGGCUGCAGCCGGUCUCCGGGAUGAUGGACGAGCACUGACAGGGGAGCGGCAGGGGUGUAGAGGACUCAGGGAGCACAUCGUCCAAACAUCACAAGGAUACAGCAGCCCCCUUUCCGUGCACAGAGGCCUCCGCCCUCCAAGCCCCAGAGGGAAAUGCUUGUCAAAGGUGCCACCUCCUCCAAGAUAACGGAUUUUGGGUUGAGAAGAUAGACUGUGAUACAAACAACAACCAUGAGGACAACAACAACAUCUCGACAACGACAGCAACAAAUGCCAUUUUCGAGGGCCUAAUUCCCGCCACACACUGUAGUGGAUGUCCUUGACCACCAGUCAAGGUCAAAUGAAACGGAAGUGGUCCGCCCCUUAAUUCAGUCAACAGAGGAGCACGCAAAGUUUAUCCAAGGAGAAGUUGGCUAUAAAUUUUUCCGUCUCCACAGCCACCUGGCCCUGGCCCCAAGCUCGGUCAGUGGAUGCUGCUGAGCAGACUACAGAUCCGUCACUGGGCGAGUCCUGAGCCAGCACAGCUGUCACGGGGAGGAGUGGCUCUGCGCCGCAGCCAUGGCGAGUUUAUCCUUGAGCAUGACAGGUAAGAAAACUGAAGUCCAGAGGGCUCAAAUAAAU
rnacentral:lncRNA from 1 species